UGCCCAUAUAACACUUGGAAACAGGUGCUAAUACCGUAUAACACUAUUUUCCGCAUGGAAGAAAGUUGAAAGGCGCUUUUGCGUCACUGAUGGAUGGACCCGCGGUGCAUUAGCUAGUUGGUGAGGUAACGGCUCACCAAGGCCACGAUGCAUAGCCGACCUGAGAGGGUGAUCGGCCACACUGGGACUGAGACACGGCCCAGACUCCUACGGGAGGCAGCAGUAGGGAAUCUUCGGCAAUGGACGAAAGUCUGACCGAGCAACGCCGCGUGAGUGAAGAAGGUUUUCGGAUCGUAAAACUCUGUUGUUAGAGAAGAACAAGGAUGAGAGUAGAACGUUCAUCCCUUGACGGUAUCUAACCAGAAAGCCACGGCUAACUACGUGCCAGCAGCCGCGGUAAUACGUAGGUGGCAAGCGUUGUCCGGAUUUAUUGGGCGUAAAGCGAGCGCAGGCGGUUUCUUAAGUCUGAUGUGAAAGCCCCCGGCUCAACCGGGGAGGGUCAUUGGAAACUGGGAGACUUGAGUGCAGAAGAGGAGAGUGGAAUUCCAUGUGUAGCGGUGAAAUGCGUAGAUAUAUGGAGGAACACCAGUGGCGAAGGCGGCUCUCUGGUCUGUAACUGACGCUGAGGCUCGAAAGCGUGGGGAGCGAACAGGAUUAGAUACCCUGGUAGUCCACGCCGUAAACGAUGAGUGCUAAGUG
rnacentral:rRNA from 1 species